rnacentral:lncRNA from 1 species
GCCGGCACCUGCCGUGGCCAUGGCCGGGGGACACCGCUCCGUUUCAUUUGAGAGUUUGAGAUCUGACAAAUCGAAGAUAAAAGACACUAAAAACAAAUUGAAGUUCUUCCUGAAAUAACAUCCCAUGAAUGAGUUAUGGUUGCUCGAUUGCUUGGUUGCUGCACGAUUGAUUGCUUGCUGCCUGCAGGAGCAACAAUGAACAGACAGACCUGCCGCUUGCCUACAAAUUGCAGAUCGACGACACGCAGGAGACUCACCCUGGCAGGUGAGCGGCGCAGGGGUAGGGAGGCCACCGGCCGUGGCGGACAGCGCAGCCUGGGCGGGCACUGGAGACGCGGCUUGCGGGUGACGGCGGUGUGGAGGCUAGCCCCGACGUGGCCAUGGUGAGCGCCUGAGCGGCGCACGGGGCAUUGAGGCCACCGGCGGGCGGCGGCAGUGCGGAACGGCGAGCGAAGGCAGCGCGACCUAUCGAGCGACGGCGGCGCGGCCUCGAUGGGCCCACGAGUGGUGGCGCCAGAGGCCGGUCCCGG